rnacentral:lncRNA from 1 species
CCGGCCCGAGCCCGACCCAAAAGCCCGAUAUAUUAAUUAUUUAAAUAAAAUAUUUAAUUAUAUAUAUAAUAUUUAUUUAUAAAAAGAAUAAAUUAUAUAAUAUAUCAUAUAUAGUAUAUAGUGUUAUUAAUGGUAUAUACUUAUAUAUAUAUAUGAGGAUAUAUUAUAUAUUAACAAAAUAUUUAGUUUCAUAUUAGGAUAUAUUAAAUAGUAUUAUUAUAUAUAAUUAAUUAAUUAUACAUAUCUAUGAGUAAAUAUAUGGU